UCCGGCUUAUCACCGGCAGUUCCCUCAGAGUUCUCAGCAUUACCUGUUAGCAACAGAGGGUGAGGGUUGCGCUCGUUGCGGGACUUAACCCAACAUCUCACGACACGAGCUGACGACAGCCAUGCAGCACCUGUGCACCUCCCAACUAAAUGACGGGAUGUGUUUCCACAUCCCUUAGAGGGCAUGUCAAGGCCUGGAUAAGGUUCUUCGCGUUGCCUCGAAUUAAACCACAUGUUCCACCGCUUGUGCGGGUCCCCGUCAAUUCCUUUGAGUUUUAAUCUUGCGACCGUACUCCCCAGGCGGGGUGCUUAACGCGUUAGCUACACUACCGGAAUGAAAUUCCGACAGCUAGCACCCAUCGUUUACGGCGUGGACUAC
rnacentral:misc_RNA from 1 species